UACGUAGGGUGCGAGCGUUGCCCGGAUUUAUUGGGCGUAAAGGGCGCGUAGGCGGCUCUGCACGUCCGUUGUGAAAUCGCCCGGCUCAACUGGGCGGGGUCAGCGGAUACGGCGGAGCUUGAGCAAGCUAGGGGGCAAUGGAAUUCCCGGUGUAGCGGUGAAAUGCGCAGAUAUCGGGAAGAACACCCGUGGCGAAGGUGGCUCUCUGGGACGGUACUGACGCUGAGACGCGAAAGCGUGGGGAGCGAACAGG
rnacentral:rRNA from 1 species